rnacentral:rRNA from 1 species
CCUACGGGAGGCAGCAGUGAGGAAUAUUGGACAAUGGGCGAGAGCCUGAUCCAGCCAUGCCGCGUGCAGGAAGACUGCCUAUGGGUUGUAAACUGCUUUUUUACGGGAAGCGGUACCGUACGAAUAAGGAUCGGCUAACUCCGUGCCAGCAGCCGCGGUAAUACGGAGGAUCCGAGCGUUAUCCGGAAUCAUUGGGUUUAAAGGGUCCGUAGGCGGGCGUCUAAGUCAGUGGUGAAAUUCUGCAGCUCAACUGUAGAACUGCCAUUGAUACUGGUCGCCUUGAAUCGUUGUGAAGUGGCUAGAAUAUGUAGUGUAGCGGUGAAAUGCUUAGAUAUUACAUAGAAUACCGAUUGCGAAGGCAGGUCACUAACACGAUUGACGCUGAUGGACGAAAGCGUGGGGAGCGAACAGGAUUAGAUACCCUAGUAGUC